rnacentral:rRNA from 1 species
AGUGAGCGCUGGCGGCAGGCCUAACACAUGCAAGUCGAACGGCAGCACAGUAAGAGCUUGCUCUUACGGGUGGCGAGUGGCGGACGGGUGAGGAAUACAUCGGAAUCUACUUUUUCGUGGGGGAUAACGUAGGGAAACUUACGCUAAUACAGCAUACGACCUACGGGUGAAAGCAGGGGAGCUUCGGACCUUUCGCGAUUGAAUGAGCCGAUGCCGGAUUAGCUAGUUGGCAGGGUAAAGGCCCACCAAGGCGACGAUCCGUAGCUGGUCUGAGAGGAUGAUCAGCCACACUGGAACUGAGACACGGUCCAGACUCCUACGGGAGGCAGCAGUAGGGAAUAUUGGGCAAUGGGCGCAAGCCUGAUCCAGCCAUACCGCGUGGGUGAAGAAGGCCUUCGGGUUGUAAAGCCCUUUUGUUGGGAAAGAAAAGCUGCAGGUUAAUACGCCGAUGUUCUGACGGUACCCAAAGAAUAAGCACCGGCUAACUUCGUG